rnacentral:lncRNA from 1 species
ACAGAACAACAAAUGAUACAUUAAAAAAAAAAAAAACUACUACAUCUGCUACUACUAUCGGUACUACUAUACCUACAACUUCUAUCCCAACUACCACAAAUACAUCUACACCUACUACUACUGCUACUACUACUACUACUACUACUUUAUUAGAUACAAAAAAUUACAUUGAAGAAUAUUUUAAUAAAAUAACACCAGAAAAUUGUAUAAAGAACACAAAAUACGAAAACACAUCUAACACACAUAAUGACUUCACAAACAACAAAAACAACCAAAACCACAACCAAAACCACAACCAAAACCACAACCAAAACCACAACCAAAACCACAACCAAAACCAAAACCAAAACCAAAACCAAAACCAAAACCAAAACCAAAACCAAAACCAAAACCAAAACAACAAUGAUAUUACAUCUCAAUUGGAAAACUAUAAAAGUAGUGGGUAUGACAUAAAUAGCUAUAAUGGUGGCCACAGCAGUAAUGAUAGUAGUAAUAACAAUAUUUGUGGUCACGAUGUUAGUAGUGGUGUACAUUAUUGUGCUGUAGAUAGUAGAAACAAAAAAAAGAACCAAUCAUAUAAAGAGUUAUCAUAUAAAGAGUUAUCAUAUAAAGAGUUAUCAUAUAAAGAGUUACCAAAUAAAAACAUAAAUAACAUGUGUGUGAAUAAUAAUAAUGAAUACAAUACAAAUAUAUUAACUGAAAAAAUGGAAAACGGUUAUGGUAAUGAAAACAGACAGAAUAAAAAAUAUAAUAUUAAAAAUUUGGGUACUAAUAGAAGUAACAAUAUUAUGAUAAAUGAACAAACGGAUACGUCAUUACAAGAUGCAUACAUAAUGCGUCAGAACAAAAAUACAUAUAAAGACAUGCACAAUGAAAAUUGUUAUAAUAAUAAUGAGAGCAACAUUACUGCUACUUCUGUUACUUCUGCUGCUACUACUGUUACUUCUGCUGUUACUACUGUUACUUCUGCUGCUACUACUGUUACUUCUGCUGCUACUACUGUUACUUCUGCUACUACUACUGUUAAUUCUGCUGCUACUACUGUUACUACUAGUUCUGCUAACAAUAAUGACAAUGCUUCUAGCAUUAACAACCAUGUGUCACCAACACGUAAUAUACGCACAUGUAAUGGGAAAGAACAAAAUAAUGCUAUUAAGAAAACAUAUUAUUUAUUACAACCACCAAAAUACAACAUUAUUAAAGAUACAAAGAGUCAAAUGUUAAUGAUUUCAAAACAAAAAAUAAAAAAAAUAUGGAAUAAAUUUAAAAGUUCUACGUCUAAAGAACAAAGUAGUGUC